GGGGGGGGGCGGGGAAUUGUCUGGUCUGUGCCCCCCCCCAGGCCCAGAGAUCUGGGUCCUGCUCUGGCUGGGGGAGGGGGGCCAAGAGGGUGGGUACGGGUCUGGGGGGAGGGGCCGAGCCUGCCCUGCCCAUCCCCCUUGACACCACCAGGAGAUUCAGGGCCAUUGGCCCAAGCCCGACCUGUGACCUGGGGGAUCACAAUUGAUGAUGUCACAACCAGACUCCAUUGGCCUCAGUCCUGGGGGUGAGGCCUCAAGGGCUGCCCAGUCCUGCCUGUGCCCAGCCUGGGUUUCAGCCGGGCCAGUCUCGGCUCCAGCCCGGAGCUAGGGACCAGGCAGCGGCAGCGCGUGUGUCUGUGCCACCUGAUAGGCCAGACUCCACAGUCCUGGGGGUGAGGCGCCCGGGGCUGCUCAGACCUGCCCUGCCCAGCCGGGGUGUCAGUUGGGCCAGCCUCUGCUGCCACCUGAGAAAUCUGAUGGAGGCCCGGGCUGUAGCUGCUGCCAAGCUGCUUGGAAGUCACCCAGGUGGGGAUGCUGGCAAGGCCCUUGGGACAGUAGAAAGGCCGCUCUGGAGGCCACCAGUGCGGAUUGUGCAGCAAGAUCCCCCGUGGCAGCUCCAGAGGAGCGUCAGCACAGAUCUCCGCAGAGACCAACUGCCGAUCUCAUCCCCAGACACAUCAGAAGUUGCCUGCUCCCUGACAGCUCCCAUCAGGCCCAGCAGCUGUGAGGAAGAGAACCAUUGA
rnacentral:lncRNA from 1 species